rnacentral:lncRNA from 1 species
UAGAGAGGAAUGCCAGUUAUGAUUUCAUAAUAGGGACAAUAAUUUACCAGGACCUUAAAAGGUAUGGAAGCUUUUGCCAAGUUAACUGGGGAAGUAAGAUGGGAAAAGAAAUAUAUGUAAGGGGGAAAACAGGAUGUGCGAAGGCAUGAAAACAUGUGUUCUCAGGGGAUCUUCUUCUUGUUUGUCUUACCGGAAUCACUGGUGAAAUCAACACAGCUAGAGUGGGGAGAUUCAUUUGUUAACUGUUGCUUCAGAAGCCAUGAAAAGAGCAAGAAGCCUGCAGGCCAUCAUUUGUAG